UUUCGUUUGUUUUUCUUUACUGACAGUAAAGAUGCAAAUACAGUGGUCCCAGUGAUCACUUUAGGCCUGCUUUUCUGCCCUCCUUUGCAAACCAUUAAAUGGCAGAGGAAAAUGUCUUUUGGGAGCCAGAAGUGCAGCUGGAGAAGAGGGGAACUGUCAGUGCAGUUUUACAUAGCCGGAUUCUCACCUCCAGACCAAGGCUUGAUUCAGUCCUUCAUCAUGACACUUCUAGAUGCAAUGUUAUCACCUUUAUUGCAACUGGAAAGGCCAGUAACUUCUCAGAUAUGCAGCCCACAUUUCUCCUAGAAGCCAUCUCUUCAUUACAAGCAUGAGACUUCCAGACCCAGAGCAGUUGGAAGCCAGAUAAUGUGAUCAAGGUAAAAAAAAAAAGUAUUGAUUGAAAUCUGUGGUAAUUCCAUGCAUGUACUUCUCAGAUGGUCUAUACUUCUCAAAUUCUUGCUGUAAUUCUUUCUGAAAUAUGCUAAAUAAGGACUACCUCUUAAUUAUCUAGAUAUACUGAUGACAGCUGACUGCCAUAAUCUCAUACACAUAACUCUUACCGUGAGAACUAUGUAUCAGUUUUAAAGGUAACUGCUUUCUGUAACCAAACAUAUGGUGCAGCAUCUGCAAACUAAUCUACACUGUAAGCAUCUGUCAAGUGAGGACUUUCGCACCUGUUCUAAAGUCUUACUUUUUUGAUAUGCCAAGGCCUGUCUUUACUGCCAGCCCCUUUCACUUAUUGCCGUGCUUCAGUGUGGUUUGUUAAAACAAAUAUUGAUCUUAAUUUUGGUAGAUCUUGAAAAUAAUGAAAAUGUGGAGUUCUUUCUCCUGUGACAUUCUUCACUGAGAGAUGGCAGAAAAAAGUAGUAUAAGCACUGAACAAUAAGGCUCUUUUUCCUUCUAUUCAGAAGUUCUGUUUUGGAAGUUUAGUUAAAUAGGAACAAGUAAAAUUUUUUGGCUCUACAGUAAAUCUUAAUAUAUAUGGUAGAAAUGAACUACUAAUAAUGGAGCUCUACUUCAAAUUUAUGCAGCUUCAUAGUUUACAACUGAAAUUGCUCCAGUUAGAAAUGUCCAAUUUUAGGAAGCUGAGCAGUAUACAGUCAUAUUUAUUUUUAAGAAGAAAAGAUCAAUUAACAAUCUUUAAUUUAAAAAUAUUCUAUUAGGAACUGCUCUUUCUCCCACUUAAAUAAUCUUUCAGGUUAUAAGAAAAGAGGAGCAUAAUCUGUCAGUUGUCGAUUUUCCUAUCUGUAAUACUAGUUUUGUGCUGAUUUUUUUCCUUCCACCAUCUUCCCUUGUACUCCUUGAUGCAUUUGCUGCCUACUCCAUUCUAAAAUUAUUAUUAGAACAAACCAUUUUCAUUGUAAUAUCUCUUAAAAGAUCUUAAAGAAUCAGGCAGCUUUGAGGGCUGGUGAAGAUACAAGGUAAACUUAUCACAUUCCUAAUCAAAGCACUUUUUUAUUACCUAGUGUAAACUAUGCCAAUUUUGCAUGGCGAUGGAAGAUCAUUCUAUGUAGAACUUCCUAAAGAAAUAGUUUGGUUAUUGGAGUGUGGUUUUAUGCUUUGAGAACCUCGUAGAGUAGCUGACUUGAGAGUUUUAAAAACCACUUACAGACCUUAGAAGCCUAUUUGAAAGGAGGUCAGAAAUGCCAGAUUUGAGCUCACUGGUAAGUUCAGCUGUAACGCUCUGUAACUGUGUGCUUAUACGAAUGCAGUGUACGCAGCCUACUGAUAUCCAUUAUUUACUAGAAAAGGUAGAAAGUACAAAGUAUAUCUGGGAGCUUCUCUACUAUGUGGCAAUGAAUAGAAAUUCCUCGAUUUAUUAUUUUUGUCAGUAGUUAAGCCUGAUCUUCACUAAGGAUGCUUUGCAGCCAACACUGCAUUUUAAAAGUAGAUCAGCACCUAUAAACAGCGUAAACUGAAAACUGUAGCAAGAAAAUCUGUUUACAGUACAAAAUGCUAUUAACAGUUUCUGAAGUUACAUUGUUUUAUAUCUUCACAGUUUUCUCAUUUAUUACAGUGAGAAACCUUGUGCUGAAUGCGAGAAUAAGACUAGAAUGAUUGAUACCUCUGUUCUUUGAUGUGAGAUCGCAAAAGUGUUACGUUUUAGGUACAGCAGUUGGCUGCUUCUGACAUCUGUAACUUCCUGGCUCUUCACCAGAGGAAAUUGUUUUCAGUCGAAAUGCUCAGCUGUUCUGAACCUAAUCUACCUUGAGACUUAGUUAUGAACAUUGGUGAUGUAAAUACCAUGCAGCCACCAGCUGUAAGUGGGAUGUGAAAAACACUGAUACAGAAAUCAUUGAGAGAGAGCAAAAGAAACACACGCAGAUAGGAAAAAAAUAUAAAUAAAUAAAUUCAAAACCUGCUGGCCAUCCGUGAAAUUUUCUUCCUGUUGUUCAGCUGAUGUGCAUCUGUAUUGAGCUCAGUGCUUAAGGACAUACAAGCAGAUUCUGUACUUAAGCUUGAAGGCAUUCUGAAGAACUUUUCAAGGCUAUAAGAUUAAAAAUAAUUUUCUGCAGGUAGAAGAUAGAAAAAUAUGGAAGUGCUUCUGUUACAGGAGUUGAAUAUUUCUUCUAGAUAGCAGUACUCAGUUUCUAGAGAAACCGUAAUGAUUAUCCUUUUUAUUUUCUUACUUGUUUGUAAUGUGGUCAAGAAAUCAAGCCUGGAGAGCAGCCUAAGUAGAUAAUAGAUGACACUUGUAUAUUUCCAAAUAAUAGAAAAUAGGGAGGGAACUCUAUUUUGUUGCUGUUGUUUCCAGAACAAAAAUGUUAAUGAAGAGUAUUUUCUUUGGGACUCUGCCAGUUUCAAUAAAUUAUUGUUUGAAUUUAGCUGCUGCCUGGAGAUAUUUGAUAGCUCAUAAUAUUUCAGCAUUAAAUAACACUUUAAAAAUCUAACCAAGAAAGUAGUGUGGCGUUAUCCCACAGCAAAUGCGAUGUGUUGAUCUUCUAACUGCUGCUUGAAUGCAUUAACAUUAAUCUCUCUUGUUUCUUUCAGAAGUGGGGAUCCUUUUAACAGGAUACAAAGUCUGACUCUCAUUCUGUAGCUUAUCUGUAAAAUUCAGAUAAUUAAUAUCACUUUACAGAACAAUGCUGAUCAGUACAUAGGCUCAUUCACUGUGUGUAUUUACUGAGUUAAUUCAGAGCUGAAAAUGAAGUUUAUGGCAAAAUAAAACAGUUCUAUAUUUAGAAAGUAGAAGUCAUCUCUUUUAAUGAGCUGAUAAAAUUUUAACAAGUUUAUGUCCCUUUAAUUGUUUGUAGGAUCUUAACAAUGCCUACUUACAUAGUUGUCAGAAUGAAAAUUACUGAACUAAAUAAUAAGUAAGGUAACAAAUCUUAGAUUAACAUGAAAGGACAAACUCUGCUCUGUCCAAAGGCUAAAGGGUAACUUUUUUCCCCAUCCUAUUGAAUGACAUUGAUAUUUUACUGGAAAGGCUUUUAUUGUCUUCAUGAAGUUAAGCAUUUGAUAUUCAUAACUACCUGAAAUAAUCCCAUCACUAAAUAGAAUCGGCACUUUCCUUCCAGAUUCACAUAGCUUGAUGCAACACUUGUUUGUAUUCAAAAAUUAUCAUGAAAUCAUUUUUAAGUAUUUUAUUUUCUGGAUGGUUUCCUAAGUUGCUCUGGCUAAUCGCACAAAAGUGGUGUCUGGAAUUCCCACUAGAAGCUACCCUCUAUUAAUAAAGAGAUGAAAAAUAGUCCUAAAUGUCAUGCUUUCUUUUUCCCUGGUACAGCUCAAACAAUAGAUAAUACGGCAUGAAUCACAUGAAAGACUGUUAUGGAAGAAUAAGUAGGUAUGCUCUGCCAAACAAAUCACAGUGGGCACUUCAAGCAAAUUUAACAAGUAGGUGGAAUAAAUAUGGUGCCAUAUCAUCAAUAUUUGAUGAGACCACAAGCCCUUACAUACUACUUCAUAAAUUUUUAAGUGUGUGCAAUUUUCCACUCCAAUAAUUUAAAAUGAAAAAUGUUUCACCUUUAGAGGAAAUUAGUUAAAGCACUGAAAAAAAAACGUUGUAAAAAUGAUAAAAAUAAAAAGAUCUAUUUGAAUAUAAAACCAAUUAACAACAUAACAUUGUGAAGGGCUUGAAGUAGAAAAGUAUAUAUGCAAUUAAGAAGUGCAAAUUCCCUUGACUCAACUAAGACUUCUGAAAUUGCAUUGAUGUUUUAGGAAAUGCUUCCCAGUGAUAACAAAAUGUAUUUAAGUAGAAGUUCUGAAAAUACUGAAAAUACAGAGGUCCUGAAAAUACAAAGCACUUUGAGACUUUCACCAAUUUCAUGGAAUAGAAUGCAGUGAAAAGCAAGCUGGAAUGGCUGGCUGGUGACUCCAAUAUUGUGAGAUUUUUAUGUAUUUCCAACCUCAACAUUUACAUUGGAAACAGACUGUGAUAUAAAAAGUUUAUUCUCCUUGGUGGAAGUUAUUUGUUUUAUAAAUUAAUAAGUGAAGAGACUGUAAUCACUUUCCAUUUACUAAUGCAAUAAAUUUUUAUAAGAAAGAAAUUAGAUAUUAUAUUGCAGAUUUGAUUUUUCUGUUUAAGAGAAAGUAAGGAUUGUUUUAAGACAGGGAGCAUCUUACAUCUAGUAAAAGCUUACAAGUGAUACUUUAAAAUCCUGUCCCAAUAAAAUUUAUUGCUUAGAUUUUAUUUUUUUGAAGGAUAAUUUUCCUGCUCUGUGGUAGAACUAAUAAUUAAAAGUUUGACAUAGGUAUGAAAUAUUCAUUUAACUGUAUCAACUAAUGCAAUGCAAGGAUUGAGAAACAGCUCUGAAGUUUGUCUGAGUACAUACUAUUACAUUAAAGUGCUAAAUUGAGCUUUCAUUUUCUGUCCAAACUACUGUCAUGGUUUUAUGAUUUUUGGUUACUGGUAUUCCAUAUCAUAACAUCAUGUAAUGCAUUGGGUGUUA